rnacentral:rRNA from 1 species
GAUGAACGCUGGCGGCGUGCCUAAUACAUGCAAGUCGAGCGAACGGACGAGAAGCUUGCUUCUCUGAUGUUAGCGGCGGACGGGUGAGUAACACUUGGAUAACCUACCUAUAAGACUGGGAUAACUUCGGGAAACCGGAGCUAAUACCGGAUAAUAUUUUGAACCGCAUUGUUCAAAAGUGAAAGACGGUCUUGCUGUCACUUAUAGAUGGAUCCGCGCUGCAUUAGCUAGUCGGUAAGGUAACGGCUUACCAAGGCAACGAUGCAUAGCCGACCUGAGAGGGUGAUCGGCCACACUGGAACUGAGACACGGUCCAGACUCCUACGGGAGGCAGCAGUAGGGAAUCUUCCGCAAUGGGCGAAAGUCUGACGGAGCAACGCCGCGUGAGUGAAGAAGGUCUUCGGAUCGUAAAACUCUGUUAUUAGGGAAGAACAUAUGUGUAAGUAACUGUGCACAUCUUGACGGUACCUAAUCAGAAAGCCACGGCUAACUACGUG